UACAGAGGGGGCAAGCGUUGUUCGGAAUUACUGGGCGUAAAGGGCGCGUAGGCGGCCUCUUAAGUCGAACGUGAAAUCCCCGGGCUCAACCCGGGAACUGCGUCCGAUACUGGGGGGCUUGAAUCCGGGAGAGGGAUGUGGAAUUCCAGGUGUAGCGGUGAAAUGCGUAGAGAUCAGGAAGAACAUCGGUGGCGAAGGCGCUCUGCUGGACCAUAACUGACACUCAGGGACGAAAGCUAGGGGAGCAAACGGG
rnacentral:rRNA from 1 species